rnacentral:rRNA from 1 species
CACNCCAACCCAUGUGACCAUACCAAACUGUUGCCUCGGCGGGGUCACGCCCCGGGCUAGANNGNNGCCCCGGAACCAGGCGCCCGCCGGAGGGACCAACCAAACUCUUUCUGUAGUCCCCUSGSGGACGUUAUUUCUUACAGCUCUGAGCAAAAAUUCAAAAUGAAUCAAAACUUUCAACAACGGAUCUCUUGGUUCUGGCAUCGAUGAAGAACGCAGCGAAAUGCGAUAAGUAAUGUGAAUUGCAGAAUUCAGUGAAUCAUCGAAUCUUUGAACGCACAUUGCGCCCGCCAGUAUUCUGGCGGGCAUGCCUGUCCGAGCGUCAUUUCAACCCUCGAACCCCUCCGGGGGUCCGGCGUUGGGGAUCGGGAACCCCUAAGACGGGAUCCCGGCCCCGAAAUACAGUGGCGGUCUCGCCGCAGCCUCUCAUGCGCAGUAGUUUGCACAACUCGCACCGGGAGCGCGGCGCGUCCACGUCCGUAAAACACCCAACUUCUGAAAUGUUGACCUCGGAUCAGGUAGGAAUACCCGCUGAACUUAAGCAUAUCAAUA